rnacentral:rRNA from 1 species
CCCGCUCGCCGGAAGACCAAGGGUUCCUGUCCAACGUUAAUCGGGGCAGGGUGAGUCGACCCCUAAGGCGAGGCCGAAAGGCGUAGUCGAUGGGAAACGGGUUAAUAUUCCCGUACUUGGUGUUACUGCGAAGGGGGGACGAAGAAGGCUAGGCCGGCCGGGUGACGGUUAUCCCGGUUUAAGCGUGCAGGUGGGUGGUUUUGGAAAAUCCGGACCGCCGUUAACACUGAGGCGUGAUGACGAGGCGCUACGGCGCUGAAGUGGUUGAUGCCCUGCUUCCAGGAAAAGCCUCUAAGCUCCAGGUAACAUCAAAUCGUACCCCAAACCGACACAGGUGGUCAGGUAGAGAAUACCAAGGCGCUUGAGAGAACUCGGGUGAAGGAACUAGGCAAAAUGGUGCCGUAACUUCGGGAGAAGGCACGCUGACA